AUUGAACGCUGGCGGAAUGCUUUACACAUGCAAGUCGAACGGUAGAGGGGGCAACCCCUCGAGAGUGGCGAACGGGUGAGUAAUAUAUCGGAACGUGCCCAGUCGUGGGGGAUAACGUAGCGAAAGUUACGCUAAUACCGCAUACGAUCUAAGGAUGAAGGCGGGGGAUCGCAAGACCUCGCGCGAUUGGAGCGGCCGAUAUCAGAUUAGGUAGUUGGUGGGGUAAAGGCUCACCAAGCCAACGAUCUGUAGCUGGUCUGAGAGGACGACCAGCCACACUGGAACUGAGACACGGUCCAGACUCCUACGGGAGGCAGCAGUGGGGAAUUUUGGACAAUGGACGCAAGUCUGAUCCAGCCAUCCCGCGUGCAGGAUGAAGGCCCUCGGGUUGUAAACUGCUUUUGUACGGAACGAAAAGGUCUCUCUUAAUACGGGGGACUCAUGACGGUACCGUAAGAAUAAGCACCGGCUAACUACGUGCCAGCCGCCGCGGUAA
rnacentral:rRNA from 1 species